UUCUAUGACUAGCUUGGGAACUUCCAUAUGCCGUGGGUGCAUGAAAGCAAGCAAGCAAGCAAGCAAGAAAAAGAAAGGAAGGAAGGAAGAAAGUCUUACAAAUAUACUUAAAAUUCCUAUUUAUCUCAUCUCUUACCGGUCUGAAAUAUUCAGCAUAUCUGUGAUUUUUUUUUGUUGUUGUUGCUAACACACUUUUCUCCAUUGGUUUUUUAAUGCAUCAUUAAGCCAAAGCAAGCAAUUUUAAUUAUAAUUAUAUAUGUGUUAAUACUUGAUAGAGUAUUAUAUUUCAAAAUAAUCUUGGUUAAUCCCUUUCCAUUGGUUUUUCAAUAUAACUUUCAAGAACAAAAUCUAAGAAAAAUACUAGUGGAGUAUUCAUUGGAGUAACUAUACAUUUAUAGAUUGCCAUUUUUAUGAUUCUGUGCCUUCGCAUCCAUGAACAUGGUAUAGUCUUAUUUUAUUUCUUAAUUUAGGUAUCUAUAGAUAUUUACAUUACUCAAUAACAUUAAGUGAAAGCUCUUACAUGUGUUUUCUGGAUUAAUUUGUAGGUACAUUAAUGUUUAAUGCUAUUAUAAAUGGGCUAUUUUAAAAACAAUAUUUUUAAUUAGUUGCUGCUCUUUUGUAACAAUGUCAUUGAUUUUUUUUUACUUUAUAUCUAAAAAUCUUACUGAUUUGAAUAGUGUUAACUAGAGAUUUUCUUUUUUUCUAAGGGUAAUUUAAGCAUCUCUAAACAAUGACAACUUGUAUUUUUUCUGUUUCUCAUUUUGCAGCAUUUCUUUGUCUUGUCUUAUUGUGCUGACCAAGAACUCCAGAAAAAAUGAUAAAUGUAAGCUAUGUCAGCAAACACCUCUUUUCUUUUCUUAGCUUUUAUAGAAAAUAUUGAUCGUUUCAACAUCCGAUAUGAUAUCAUUGAUGGUUUUGUUUUAGAUAAACAGGUUUAGAAAGUUGUCUUCUAUUCCUAAGUUGGUAAAAAUCUUAAUAUAAAUGGAUAUUGGAUACUGUCAUGUGUUUUUCCUGCAUCUUCAGAGACAAUCCUAUGGUUUCCUUCUUUCAAUCUAUUAAUGUGGUAAGUGACAUUAAAAGAAUUUCUAUUGUUCAGGCAUUUUUGCAUUACUGUGUAAAACCAAUGACAUUAUUCUGUAUUACUGAUGAAUUUUUAAAAUAUAUGGGCAGCUUAGUUUUCUAAUAUUUUCAGGAGAAUUUUACACAUGUACUCUUAAAGAAACUGGCAUAUCAUGUCUAUAUCAUCUACCUAUGGGAGGAACUGGCUGGAGGUGAUACAGGAGGAGGGGAGAAGUGACUUUUCCUACUUGCCCUAACGCUAUCCCCAGGGCAGCUGCAGUACCAAUAAUGCUGAAAGUAGUGACAACAUUGAUUUCCACAGCAGUAGCAGCGUGGAGGGAUCCCCAUGAUACAGGCUAUGGGGGCAGCAAUAGGAAUAAUUCAGGAGUAAUGACAAUAUUAGCUGCAGCUAUAGCAGCUAACAUGUGACUCCUCGUGGUGGCAGCUUCAAAAACAGCAGGAACAGCCCAGCUCAAGAAGGGCAGCUUCCUAGGCUCCUGCUUAAAGAAGCUCAACUUGGACAUCUGAAGGUCUGAAGUACCUUCCACUGACCCCAGCAACAUUUUCACUCCAACUUGGUAGAAGCAGAGAUUUCUUGUAGUUAUUAAUUUUCAAACAACCCUAUCUUUUCACCUAUUGCUCCACACACCCUCGCAAAUGAUUUCUCUAUGAAAUAUGAUACAUAUGACUCACUUGUUUUGCUAGCCCAUAGAGUGUUUUAAUUUUUAAAUCACUUGCAAUUGUGGAAAAAUUGGGAGAGCCCACAUAAAAUUGCAGUUUUCAGCCUUCUCUUGAUCUUUAGAGUGGGCAAUGCUGUUUGCGCUUCCUGCAGGGCCACAGAGGUCUGAUGCUGAGUAAUGACUGUCCCUUUCAACAAGUUCGCCAGGUCCCCCACCUGGACUGCUUCCAUUGACCACACCUCCUGCCUGGCCCUGCACACUUGGAUGUUCGCCACACCUAAUAUACAUGGAAUUGCAAGGAAGAAAGUCCUGUGUAAGAGAACACAAACCAUAAGAGCAAGAACUGGAAAACUCUAUUGGGUCAAACUUGAAAGGAUGCUCCAACUGGGAGAGAAGAAGAGACUGAUGAAGGAAGGCAUGGUCUGAAGCGUCACCUGCCGCUGAGAGAGUCUUAAGAGGCAAGCGAUGAAGAGAAAGCAGUAGGGUAACAUGGUGAUCAUGGCUCUCACAGCUGCUCAGAAGGGGACUCAAACUCAGACAUGUCUGUUAGCAAAGCUGGUCUUCUUUCCCUCAGGUCAUAUUGUCUCCACCUCAGAAAGGCAUGGGAGGAGAGAAAGCCAGAUGCACAGUAGCUUUUGGUAUUAAUAUCAAGAAAGAAUGGUGGUGAAGUUUGGAUGAGUGGCCUGGAUCCAGCCUCUAAAGGGCCUUGGAUCCCAAAGGAGGACCCGAAGACAGUGUACUAUCUAGUUUCCACAGGGAAGAUAUGAUUCAGCCAGGCCCCCUCCGGUGAAGCUUGCAUCCCUGGGCUGGGAACUAUCUGACAACUUUGGACCAGGGCAAAGAAACCAGGCCUUCUUUAGCCAAACAGUAGAAAUAAGACUGUCUUCAGGGGCAGAGCUGCUGGACAUCAUUAGCCAGGCUUUUGUUCCAGGCAUUAAAAAAAAAAAUAAGGAACAUUAAGACUGAGGCCAGACUUAGGGUUAGAACCUUGCUUGGAAUGCCCAGAGCUUUCCUUUUUAUUCAAGACCCAAAUUAGCAUUAUCAUGUGCUUUUUCGCAUGAAGACUAAGCCAUCUGCAUUUCCUUUUUAAAACUAAUGAUCUUUAUGCUUAAAAUGACAAAUGAUACUGGUAUGUUAUAGAGUAUAUGUUGUAUUUAUCUUUAUGGUCACCCUAUGACUUGGACUCAAUAGUAAUGAGAGAAGGAGUUUCUACUGUAGCUCAGUGGUAGCAAACUUGACUAGUAACUAUGAGGACAUGAAUUUUGUGGCCUCGCUCAGCGGGUUAAGGAUCCGGCAUUGCCCUGAGCUGUGAUGUAGGUCACAGGUGCGGCUUG